UACGUAGGGUGCGAGCGUUGUCCGGAAUUACUGGGCGUAAAGGGCUCGUAGGCGGUUUGUCGCGUCGGGAGUGAAAACUCAGGGCUCAACCCUGAGCGUGCUUCCGAUACGGGCAGACUAGAGGUAUGCAGGGGAGAACGGAAUUCCUGGUGUAGCGGUGGAAUGCGCAGAUAUCAGGAGGAACACCGGUGGCGAAGGCGGUUCUCUGGGCAUUACCUGACGCUGAGGAGCGAAAGCAUGGGGAGCGAACAGG
rnacentral:rRNA from 1 species